rnacentral:misc_RNA from 1 species
GUAGGUGAACCUGCGGAAGGAUCAUUACCGAACCGUCGACACGAGUUGUUGCUGGUCCUCAAACGGGGGCAUGUGCACGCUCUGUUUACUCAUCCACUCACACCUGUGCACCCACUGUAGUUCUGUGGCUUGGGGGGCUCUGUCCUCUUUGCUGUGGUUCUAUGUCUUUACACACACACUGUAAUAAAGUUUCAUGGAAUGCAUGACGCGUCUAACGCAAUACAAUACAACUUUCAGCAACGGAUCUCUUGGCUCUC